ACCCCGGGAGGGGAGUGAAAUAGAACCUGAAACCGCAUGCAUACAAACAGUAGGAGCCUCGUCAGAGGUGACUGCGUACCUUUUGCAUAAUGGGUCAGCGACUUACAUUCUGUGGCGAGCUUAACCGAAUAGGGGAGGCGCAGCGAAAGCGAGUUCGAAAUGAGCGUUCAGUCGCAGGGUGUAGACCCGAAACCAGAUGAGCUAUCCAUGGCCAGGUUGAAGGUGUGGUAACACACACUGGAGGACCGAACCGACUAGUGUUGCAAAAUUAGCGGAUGAGCUGUGGAUAGGGGUGAAAGGCCAAACAAAUCUGGAGAUAGCUGGUUCUCCCCGAAAACUAUUGAGGUAGUGCCUCGUGUGUCGCUCCAGGGGGUAGAGCACUGUUUUGGCUAGGGGGACAUGGAGUCUUACCAAACCAAGGCAAACUCCGAAUACCUGGAAGCGUAAGCACGGGAGACAGAGCACCGGGUGCUAACGUCCGGACUCAAAAGGGAAACAACCCAGACCGCCGGCUAAGGUCCCAAAUAACAGCUAAGUGGAAAACGAAGUGGAAAGGCCGUGACAACCAGGAAGUUGGCUUAGAAGCAGCCAUCCUUCAAAGAAAGCGUAAUAGCUCACUGGUCGAGUCCUUCUGCGCGGAAGAUGUAACGGGGCUAAGCUGUUAACCGAAGCCGCGGAUGCGCUGGUUAUCCAGUGCGUGGUAGGGGAGCGUUCUGUAAGUCUGCGAAGGCGGUUCGAGAGGACUGCUGGAGAUAUCAGAAGUGCGAAUGCUGACAUGAGUAACGUUAAAGCAGGUGAAAAGCCUGCUCGCCGUAAGCCCAAGGAUUCCUGCUCUACGUUCAUCGGAGCAGGGUGAGUCGGCUCCUAAGGUCAGGCCGAAAGGCGUAGCCGAUGGGAAUCAGGUUAAUAUUCCUGAACCUGCGUCAGAUGCGAUGGGGGGACGGAGCAUGGAAGAUCAUCCGGGUGUUGGAAGUCCCGGUUGUUUAGCGUAGGAGGUCUGCAGGCAAAUCCGCAGACGCAUCUCCAAGGCAAAGACACGUGCCGCCACGGCGGCGAAGUGAUCGGAAGUGCUUCCAAGAAAAGCCUCUAAGCCCCAGUCUGACGCGGACCGUACCGCAAACCGACACUGGUGGGCGAGCUGAAUAUGCUCAGGCGCUUGAGAGAACUCGGGAGAAGGAACUCGGCAAAUUGACACCGUAACUUCGGAAGAAGGUGUGCCGUAGUACCGUGAGAGGAGAGACACCUUGAGCGGGAAACGGUCUCAGAGAAUAGGUGGCUGCGACUGUUUAUUAAAAACACAGCACUCUGCAAAGUCGAAAGACGACGUAUAGGGUGUGAUGCCUGCCCGGUGCUGGAAGAUUAAUUGAUGGGGUGAGAGCCCUUGAUCGAAGUCCCAGUAAACGGCGGCCGUAACUAUAACGGUCCUAAGGUAGCGAAAUUCCUUGUCGGGUAAGUUCCGACCUGCACGAAUGGCAUAACGAUGGCCACACUGUCUCCUCCCGAGACUCAGUGAAGUUGAAAUGUUUGUGAUGAUGCAAUCUACCCGCGGCUAGACGGGAAGACCCCAUGAACCUUUACUGCAGCUUUGCAUUGAACUGUGAACCGAUUUGUGUAGGAUAGGUGGGAGGCAGAGAAGAGGCCACGCCAGUGGUCUUGGAGCCGACCUUGAAAUACCACCCUGAUUUGUUUGCGGUUCUAACCACGGACAGUGAUCCUGUCUUGGGACCGUGCAUGGUAGGCAGUUUGACUGGGGCGGUCUCCUCCUAAAGGGUAACGGAGGAGUACGAAGGUACGCUAGGUACGGUCGGAAAUCGUGCUGAUAGUGCAAUGGCAAAAGCGUGCUUGACUGCGAGAGCAACAACUCGAGCAGAUGCGAAAGCAGGUCAUAGUGAUCCGGUGG
rnacentral:rRNA from 1 species